rnacentral:rRNA from 1 species
CGGACGGGUGAGUAAUGAUGGGGAUCUGCCUGAUGGCGGGGGAUAACUACUGGAAACGGUAGCUAAUACCGCAUAAUGUCUGCGGACUAAAGCGGGGGACCUCCGGGCCUCGCGCCAUCAGAUGAACCCAUAUGGGAUUAGCUUGUAGGUAAGGUAACGGCUUACCUAGGCGACGAUCCCUAGCUGGUCUGAGAGGAUGACCAGCCACACUGGAACUGAGACACGGUCCAG